AGUGGCGGACGGGUGAGUAACGCGUGAGAAUCUGCCCUUUGGAUGGGGAUAACGACUGGAAACGGUCGCUAAUACCCAAUAUGCCGAGAGGUGAAACUUAUAUGGCCAGAGGAUGAGCUCGCGUCUGAUUAGCUAGUUGGAGUGGUAACGGCACACCAAGGCGACGAUCAGUAGCUGGUCUGAGAGGAUGAUCAGCCACACUGGGACUGAGACACGGCCCAGACUCCUACGGGAGGCAGCAGUGGGGAAUUUUCCGCAAUGGGCGAAAGCCUGACGGAGCAAGACCGCGUGAGGGAGGAAGGCCUACUGGUUGUAAACCUCUUUUGAUAGGGAAGAAGAAAGUGACGGUACCUAUCGAAUCAGCAUCGGCUAACUCCGUGCCAGCAGCCGCGGUAAUACGGAGGAUGCAAGCGUUAUCCGGAAUUAUUGGGCGUAAAGCGUCCGUAGGUGGUUAUUCAAGUCAGCUGUCAAAGGAUGGAGCUUAACUCCAUAAAGGCAGUUGAAACUGUGUAGCUAGAGUGCGAUAGGGGCAAGGGGAAUUCCCAGUGUAGCGGUGAAAUGCGUAGAUAUUGGGAAGAACAUCGGUGGCGAAAGCGCCUUGCUGGGUCUGCACUGACACUGAGGGACGAAAGCUAGGGGAGCGAAAGGGAUUAGAUACCCCUGUAGUCUUAGCUGUAAACGAUGGAUACUAGGCGUU
rnacentral:rRNA from 1 species